CAUGUAGCUCUGGUUCUCGUAUGAUCACCGAAGUUAAGCAACGUCGAUCCUGGUCAGUUCCGAGAUGGGUGGCCGUUUGGGAAUGCUAAGUGUUGUAAG